GUCCAUCUUUGUUCAUCAUAGCCUAAAGUUAGAGAAGAGAAAGGAGAGGAGAAAGCUCUUGAAUGUUCGGUCACUUGGGGAACAAAAUUGAAGGCAGUUCGUGUAUGGAUCUCGUCAGCAUAUCGUCGCAAACAGGAAAUCCCCAACCAUAGUGGGCUUGAAGCUGUGAGGGAAUUCGGAGUGGCCACCCGUUCUGAAAGUUUGGUUUUCUUCUGGUGAACUAGACAUCCUAUUAUUUACGUUGAGGUUUGGGUUUUUAAAUGUAAUAAGGCUGCUUAAUUAUUUUUGAUGGUUUUAAUAUGUAUUACUAAGAUAGGUAUUACUUA